rnacentral:rRNA from 1 species
GAUCCUGGCUCAGGAUGAACGCUAGCUUACAGGACUUUACACAUGCAAGUCGAGGGGCAGCGCAGUGUAGCAAUACAUGGGCGGCGACCGGCGCACGGGUGCGUAACGCGUAUCCAACUUCCGUUACUCAGGGAUAGCCUUCCGAAAGGGAGAUUAAUACCUGAUGGUGUUCAAAUUCCGCAUGUUAUUUGAACUAAAGAUUUAUCGGUAACGGAUGGGGAUGCGUGACAUUAGCUAGAUGGCGGGUAACGGCCCACCAUGGCGACGAUGUCUAGGGGUUCUGAGAGGAAGGUCCCCCACACUGGAACUGAGACACGGUCCAGACUCCUACGGGAGGCAGCAGUGAGGAAUAUUGGUCAAUGGCCGAGAGGCUGAACCAGCCAUGCCGCGUGAAGGUCACGGCCCUAUGGGUCUUAAACUUCUUUUGUAAGGGAGCAAUAAGGUCUACGUGUAGACUGAUGAGAGUACCUUACGAAUAAGCAUCGGCUAACUCCGUG